rnacentral:rRNA from 1 species
AAUCAACGCUGGCGGCGUGCCUCAGACAUGCAAGUCGAACGCGAAAGUCCCCUUCGGGGGGAUGAGUAGAGUGGCGUCCGGGUGAGUAACACGUAGGUAAUCUACCUUUGGGUGGGGAAUAACCCCGAGAAAUCGGGGCUAAUACCGUAUAAUGCAGCGGCACCACAUGGUGACAGUUGUUAAAGCGGGGGAUCGCAAGACCUCGCGCCUAAAGAGGAGCCUGCGGCGGAUUAGCUAGUUGGUAGGGAACGGCCUACCAAGGCAACGAUCCGUAGCCGGCCUGAGAGGGCGGUCGGCCACACUGACACUGAAAUACGGGUCAGA